rnacentral:rRNA from 1 species
AUUGAACGCUGGCGGCAGGCUUAACACAUGCAAGUCGAGCGAGCGGCGGACGGGUGAGUAAUGUCUGGGAAACUGCCUGAUGGAGGGGGAUAACUACUGGAAACGGUAGCUAAUACCGCAUACCAUCAGAUGUGCCCAGAUGGGAUUAGCUUGUAGGUGGGGUAAUGGCUCACCUAGGAGGCGAUCCCUAGCUGGUCUGAGAGGAUGACCAGACAAACUGGUACUGAGACACGGCCCAGACUCCUACGGUAGGCAGGAGUGGGGAAUUGUGUACAAUGGGGGAAACCCUGAUCCAGCCAUCCCGCGUGUGCGAUGAAGGCCUUCGGGUUGUAAAGCACUUUUGGCAGGAAAGCGGUACCUGCAGAAUAAGCACCGGCUAACUACGUGCCAGCAGCGGCGGUAAUUC